rnacentral:lncRNA from 1 species
CUGCUGCCUGCUAACCUUCCCUGCAAAAGGAGUUUGGCUUUCUCGCUCCUCCUUGAGCUCCCUAUUCUGGGUAGCUGUGGAGAUUUACAGAUUUAAAGUCUGACUUAUUCGUCUCCCAAAUUCUAAUAUUAUUGUCCUUGAGUUUUCCAGAUCAAUUUCUAAAUCAUCUUAUUAACAAGGCUAUGAACACAUUAAAGGAAACCCUGGCUUUCCUCACGAUCUGUGGCAAUUACAAAGUGCUACUAAAGAAACUCCUCUGAGGACACAGGAAGGGACCCUAUCCAGGACCUUAGACCCAUCAGCCACAGAAGAUCAAAAUGAGAUCCAGAUAGAAGUUUGCUGUCCCUGGUUACAAUGGAAUUUGAUCUCCUUGCUGCCCGGCUUCCAGGGUGUUUCCAUGAUCCUGUUGUCAUGUCUUUUCUGCCAUGAUGGAUUUCAUUGAAACUCCUUCAUCCAGCAGCUGGUGGAAGUAGAAGCAGACGCCCACAACUAAUCACUGAACUGAACUGGAACCCAGAUUCAGAGAAGGACGAGUGAAGAGCACAGGGGUCCAGACCAGGCUGGUGAAACCCACAGAAACCGUUGAACUGAACAUCAGGGAACUCUUGACUGAUAGCUGGAAUACCAGCAUGGGACCGAUCCAGACCCCAGGAACAUGGGUUUCUGUGAGGAAACCUUGGAAAUCUAUGGGACCUCCUGUAGAAGUUCAGUACUUAUCCCUAGCAUAGGUGUGGACUUUGGGAGCCCAUUCCAUAUAGAGGAAUACCCCUUGAGCCAACGGGGGUGGGCCUUGGUCCUAUUCCAAAG